GAAUCUUGCGCAAUGGGCGAAAGCCUGACGCAGCGACGCCGCGUGGGGGAUGAAGCCUUUCGGGGUGUAAACCCCUUUCGACCCGGACGAAUGGCCCCGCACGGGGACGUGACGGUACGGGUAUAAGAAGCCCCGGCUCACUACGUGCCAGCAGCCGCGGUAAGACGUAGGGGGCCAGCGUUGCUCGGAAUAACUGGGCGUAAAGGGUCCGUAGGCGGUGCAGCAAGUCGGGAGUGAAAUUUCUGGGCUUAACCCAGAAUCGGCUUCCGAAACUGCUGUGCUGGAGUGCGAGAGAGGCGAGUGGAAUUGCAGGUGUAGCGGUGAAAUGCGUAGAUAUCUGCAGGAACACCAGAGGCGAAAGCGGCUCGCUGGAUCGCAACUGACGCUGAGGGACGAAAGCUAGGGGAGCAAACAGG
rnacentral:rRNA from 1 species